CUGGCAAUCCUUAAAAAAGCCAGCAAGAACACUUAUGCCACGUCCGCUGAAUCUAUCAGAUGUGGCAUAAAUCCGCUGGUUCUUCCCACGUAGAUCCUCCAGCUCUUUCCAAGCCACCCUACGAAUCAAUAUUUCCCCCUUCUACAAUCUCCGUUUGUUUCCCGAGAAACUGAAAGAAAAAGAGAAGGGGAAAAUUUUAUCGAAAGCACCAUGGCGGUUCGUGCCACCGUUUCCCGAUUCCCAAUGGACCAAGAUGCGCAGGAAUCUUCCGGCCUCCCCUGGGGAGUCACUGUGACUCCAUUCGCUACCAAGGACGAGAACGGCCAGCCGCCAACUUAUGGAUCGGACGGUCAUUUACUGCCUCGAUGUGAGAAUUGUUACGCCUACUUCAACACCUACUGCGAGCUUGACCAGUGGGCCUGGAGCUGCGCUCUCUGUGGAACCCUCAAUGGGCUCUCCUCUCGUUCCAUUGCUCGUUACUCGCAUCCUCAGUCUUGUGCCGAGAUGAUGUCCUCUUUUAUCGAUCUUGAGUUGCCUAUUGAGGACUCAGAGGAAGAAAUGAUGCAACCUAGUCCAGUCUAUGUUGCGGCUGUUGAUUUGUCGUCUUCAGAAGAAUUUUUGGAGCUUACUAAAAGUGCGCUGCAAGCGGCUUUGGAAGGUCUAGAAUUCUCCUUUAAUUUAAUAUUUAUAGUCCAAAACGAUUCAUUAGUUUUUUUGUGAGGACAGGGCCUAUGACUUCUGAUGUCAACUUUUAUUUUCACCUAUGUUGCAGCUCUUGCUCCUGGUGCUUUGUUUGGGAUUGCAACCUUCAGCCACAAAAUAGGGUUGUAUGAUGUUCAGGGGCCUAUUUCAGUAGUAAAGAAUGUGUUUAUUCCUCCUGAUACUGAG
rnacentral:misc_RNA from 1 species